GAUGAACGCUGGCGGCGUGCCUAAUACAUGCAAGUCGAGCGAACAGACGAGGAGCUUGCUCCUCUGACGUUAUCGGCGGACGGGUGAGUAACACGUGGAUAACCUACCUAUAAGACUGGGAUAACUUCGGGAAACCGGAGCUAAUACCGGAUAAUAUAUUGAACUUCAUGGUUCAAUAGUGAAAGACGGUUUUGCUGUCACUUAUAGAUUGAUCCGCGCCGCAUUAGCUAGUUGGUAAGGUAACGGCUUACCAAGGCAACGAUGCGUAGCCGACCUGAGAGGGUGAUCGGCAAGACGGGAACUGAGACACGGUCCAGACACCUACGGGAGGCAGCAGUAGGGAAUCUUCCGCAAUGGGCGAAAGCGUGACGGAGCAAAGCCGCGUGAGUGAUGAAGGUCUACGGAUCGUAAAACUCUGUUAUUAGGGAAGAACAAAUGUGUAAGUAACUAUGCACGUCUUGACGGUACCUAAUCAGAAAGCCACGGCUAACUACGUG
rnacentral:rRNA from 1 species